ensembl:lincRNA Gm12434 predicted gene 12434
AAGACCCAUUUGUCUGUCUGUCUGUCUAGAAGGAUGGAUAAAUGAAUCAAACUCCAUUGCAAACAAAAUUUGACAACUAGGCCAUUUCAAAGCCUUAUUUCCUGCACUUAACUAUGGGCUCCCCACUCAACUGUUUAUCUGUUGGAACUUACUGUCACCAUCAAGACCUGGACCUCUCAACUUCAACUGAUCAUCUUCAAAUGUUGCAAGAUGCCCAGUAAACCUCUACCCUGGUACCAACAAGCAAAACAGAGAAUGAAAACACCCACUUUCCAGAAGCAAACAGAAUCAAAAAUAUCUCCAUUCCUAAAAAUGUAAAAGCUCCAGAAAUGAGUUUCUAUUCUCCUUAGAUACCUAGGUGCCUGCCCAGGUGUAGCUCUUUCUUCGAUAUGUCUGGUCCCCAGGCAACACAAAAAUCUGCCAGUUUUUCACAGAAACCUUCCAUGGUUGUUCUGUAACCUCAACUACUCUAGAUCCAUUGAUUCUAAUAAGUCUCCUUUUUCCAUAAUAUCUGUGAAUCGAGCCUCAGCUGGACAUGUUAACUCAAUGGGCUUGGCAUUCCUAGCUGUGUUGAAUGAAAUCAGAAGUGUAGCGUUUUGGUGACUUAAGAUGACAAACAUUCCAUGCCUGUCAAACCAGGAGACCCAGGAGCU